AGGAGUCUCGCUGUGUCACCCAGGCUGGAGUGCAGUGGUGUGAUCUUGGCUUACUGCAACCUCUGCCUCCCAGGUUCAAGUGAUUCUCCUGCCUCAGCCUCCCAAGUACCUGGGACUACAGAUCUUUAGAUAAGCACUCUUUCAACCAAAUGCCAAUCAGAAAAUCUUUGAAUCCACCUGUGAGCUGGAAGCCCCGCUGUGCUUUGUGUUGUCCUGCCUUUUCGGACCAAUGUAAAUCUCACAUGUACUGAUUGAUGCCUACAUCUCCUUAAAACGUAUAAAAUCAAGCUGUAACCCAACCACCUUGGGCAUGUGUUCUGAGGACCUCUUGAGGCUGUGUCACUGGUCAUGAUCCUUAACCUUGGCAACAUAAACUUCUAAACUGAUUGA